GUGAAAAAGGAUAUGCAAGAGCAACAUCAUAGGAUGUUACAUGAGUUGGUAUGUUAGAUGAGGUGAGUAUUGAGACAACAUAAGCUGCAGCUUCAUUGUUGGCUUCAGAACCUGCUAUGUGGGGUCUAUGAGUGAGAACUUUAAGGUUGUUAGAUACUGAGACAUUAUCUGAUAGAGAAUUGGAUAUAAAGAGAGAGUGAUAAUAGCUAGAUUUCUUGGUUGGAGUAAGUAACAAGUAAGAUGUGGCUAUGGCUAAUAAGGUGAUGAUGAUGCUUGUUUUGAUCAUGGCAUAUGCUAAUUAAAACGUUGGACAAGUUUCUUGGUUUCUAGGGUUUGCCCGUAAGAAUGAGAUAGAGAAAGAUUGUUAUAUAUAUACUACUAUUUUGUUGAAGUUGGUUUUGAU
rnacentral:lncRNA from 1 species